AUUGAACGCUGGCGGCAGGCUUAACACAUGCAAGUCGAGCGAGCGGCGGACGGGUGAGUAAUGUCUGGGAAACUGCCUGAUAGAGGGGGAUAACUACUGGAAACGGUGGCUAAUACCGCAUACCAUCGGAUGUACCCAUAUGGGAUUAGCUAGUAGGUGGGGUAAUGGCUCACCUAGGCGACGAUCCCUAGCUGGUCUGAGAGGAUGACCAGCCACACUGGAACUGAGACACGGUCCAGACUCCUACGGGAGGCAGCAGUGGGGAAUAUGGCACAAUGGGCGCAAGCCUGAUGCAGCCAUGCCGCGGGUGUGAAGAAGGCCUUAGGGUUGUAAAGCACUUUCAGCGGGGAGGCGUUACCCGCAGAAGAAGCACCGGCUAACUCCGUGCCAGCAGCCGCGGUAAUAC
rnacentral:rRNA from 1 species